rnacentral:rRNA from 1 species
GACGAACGCUGGCGGCGUCCUUAACACAUGCAAGUCGAGCGGUAAGGCCCUUUCGGGGGUACACGAGCGGCGAACGGGUGAGUAACACGUGGGUGACCUGCCCUCAGCUCUGGGAUAAGCCUGGGAAACUGGGUCUAAUACUGGAUAUGACUCCACGGUGCAUGUCGUGGGGUGGAAAGCCUUGUGCGGCUGAGGAUGGGCCCGCGGCCUAUCAGCUUGUUGGUGGGGUGANGGCCUACCAAGGCGACGACGGGUAGCCGGCCUGAGAGGGCGACCGGCCACACUGGGACUGAGACACGGCCCAGACUCCUACGGGAGGCAGCAGUGGGGAAUCUUGCGCAAUGGGCGAAAGCCUGACGCAGCGACGCCGCGUGAGGGAUGACGGCCUCGG